rnacentral:tRNA from 1 species
GCCGAGGUCGCAUAGCCUGGUAUUGCGCAGGAUUGCUAAUCCUGUUCCUCUGGAAUCGUGGGUUCAAAACGACGGUAUCGUUCGUCGACACCUGGGCGUACAUCGACUUCGUCGAGCGAUAUCUUCAGUGAAAGUCCCACCCUCGGCG